rnacentral:lncRNA from 1 species
UUCAAACUUAUAAACCAAAACAUAAUUUUCUGAAACCAUGCGAUCCUUCAACCUGCACUCGCUAUUCAAUCAUCGUCUUCUUCCUCCGAGAAAUCAGCGGCUCUACCGGAAGAUUUUAACGCCGGUUCUUCACCUUGCUCUUCUUCAUCUUCAUCAUCAUCAUCUUCGUCUUCAAUUGUUUGUGGUGCUACACCUCUAUGGUCCUCUUCAUCAUCGUCUAUUUCCUCCUCUUUUUCUAAUUCCUCAGGCAAAAUAACGUCUUCCGGCUCCGCAUCAUCUUCAUCAUAGGGUGAUUCGAUGUUAUGUGGUGCAGGAGCUUUUUCUGAUUCUUCAAUGGUGGGAGAUCCGAGUGUUGUUUCUUCCGAAAGUUUGGUGAACUCUUCUACCUGUGCAGCAUCAACCUAGGUAUUUCCAUUACAUAAAAAUCAAAUUGCGAUAUCAUUAAUUGAUUUCACGUAUUAGAAUGAUGUUCUUUUGACAUUUGAUCUACGUAUCAUAAUAAAGGAGCAUGCAAUCAGGAAUUGUUAUACAAUUUUUCACAAAAAUCACCUGUGAAUUAUCGCAUGAACAAAUAUUUGACUUAGAACGACGAACAACUAUUGUAUAUAGUAUUUUCCGGAUCUAAUUAUGCUAACAUAACGUUAAAAUUCAAUCAUUUUUAUCAUGAGAGGAGGAAAUUAACGAGAUGUAUAUUAUUUUAAACAUAUUUAAUUGGUUAUAAUGUAAACAACUAACAGAUACAAGAAGGAAGACAUGUCUGCAACACUUAAGAGGGAGAAAAACCUGAGCAGCGGCCAUGAAGCUACUGAGAUGAUGAAUUAGUGAAGCACAAGUAGAGGGACUGAACAAGACUAGUACAGUUUGCAAUGAUAGUAUUUGGUAGAGAAUGAUGGCAUAUUAAUAAGCAAAAAGGCAUGGUAUGGUAUGGUAUGGUGUGGGUGUAGGGUGGGUGGGUAGGAAGAA